AACGCGAAGAACCUUACCUGGGUUGGAACCCUCCAGAAGUCCGCAGAGAUGUGGAUGUGCCCGCAAGGGAAUUGGAUGUCCAGGUGCUGCAUGGCUGUCGUCAGCUCGUGUCGUGAGAUGUUGGGUUAAGUCCCGCAACGAGCGCAACCCUUGUCGUUAGUUGCCAGCGGUUCGGCCGGGCACUCUAACGAGACUGCCGGUGUUAAACCGGAGGAAGGUGGGGAUGACGUCAAGUCCUCAUGGCCCUUAUGCCCAGGGCUACACACGUGCUACAAUGACCGGUACAAAGGGUUGCAAACCUGUGAAGGCAAGCUAAUCCCAAAAAACCGGCCUCAGUUCAGAUUGAAGUCUGCAACUCGACUUCAUGAAGUCGGAAUCGCUAGUAAUCCCUGAUCAGCAGGCAGGGGUGAAUACGUUCCCGGGCCUUGUA
rnacentral:rRNA from 1 species